GCACAACGCGAAGAACCUUACCACCUUUUGACAUGCCUGGACCGCCACAGAGAUGUGGCUUUCCCUUCGGGGACUAGGACACAGGUGCUGCAUGGCUGUCGUCAGCUCGUGUCGUGAGAUGUUGGGUUAAGUCCCGCAACGAGCGCAACCCUCGCCAUUAGUUGCCAUCAUUUAGUUGGGAACUCUAAUGGGACUGCCGGUGCUAAGCCGGAGGAAGGUGGGGAUGACGUCAAGUCCUCAUGGCCCUUACAGGGUGGGCUACACACGUGCUACAAUGGUAACUACAGAGGGUUAAUCCUUAAAAGUUAUCUCAGUUCGGAUUGUCCUCUGCAACUCGAGGGCAUGAAGUUGGAAUCGCUAGUAAUCGCGGAUCAGCAUGCCGCGG
rnacentral:rRNA from 1 species